AUGUGUUCCUUAUGGAUAUAAUGAUUAAAAAAAAAAACUUUACCUUCUGCUUUAGAAUCAAUAUUGUGUUUUGGUUUCAAAGCAGAAGAAUGGUAAGGACUAGGCAAUUGGGGUUAAGUGACUUGCCCAGAAUCACAGAGCCAGAAAGUGUCUGAGGGUAGAUUUGAACCUAAGACCUAUCAUCUCUAGAUGCUGCUCUCAAUUCACUGAGCCACCUAACUGCUCCUGUAAUGAUUUUUUAAAAAAAUAAAAAAGCUAAUGACUCCCUGACAGCAACUGCCUCUGUGUGACCUUGGGCAAAUCAUUUAACCUUGAUAUGCCUCUGUUUCCUUAACUAUAAAAUGGGGAUAAUAACAGCACCAACCUCUCAGAUGAAAUCAGUGGUUUUUUUUUUUUAAUUAAUCUUACCUUCUGGUAAUUAUAAGGUCCAAGGCAGAAGAGCAGUAAGGGUUAGGCAAUUGGGGAAAAAGUGAUUUGCCUAGAGUCACACAGCUAGGAAGUAUCUGAAGUCAGAUUUGAACCCACUACUUCCUGUCUCCAGGCCUGGUUCUCUAUCUACUAAACUACUUAGCCACCUCUCAGAUGAGAUUUGUAAAGCACUUUGAAUAUUGCUUGAUGCAUAGCAGGUGCUAUAGAAAUGGUUAUUUCCUUUUCCCCUUUCCCUUGCCCUUAUAUACUCCAAUAGUAGAAAGAAAGAAAGAAAGAAAGAAAGAAAGAAAGAAAGAAAGAAAGAAAGAAAGAAAGAAAGAAAGAAAGAAAGAAAGAAAGAAAGAAAGAAAGAAAGAAAGAAAGAAAGGAAAAAAGGAAGGAAAGAAAAAAAGGAAGCAAUACAAAAAAGAAGGAAGGGAGAGGGAAAGAGAGAGGAAAUUAGUGUCUAUUAAGAACUUACUAUGUGUCAGACAUUGUGUUGUGUGAUGUGUUACAAGGGAAUCACUUUAAAAGACUGAUAUAUAUUAAUUUAAGGUCGCCAAGGAAUUCAGCUAUGUAAUUCCUAAAUGAAAACUCAAGUCAGCAGUAAAUCUUUUAUGGAGUUUAAUUACAAUAGGAGUAAGAAAGGAAUUAGAGAUAGAGAGAGAGAAAAAGGGAGAGAAGGGAAUAGGGCUUAAAUACCCCUUCUGUUUAGGCUGGGCCAAAAGGCCCAAGACCUUAGAUAGCUGGGACAAAGAAAAGAGAUCAGUCCCUAUUACUCACGUGACCAAAAUGGAGAAACAGUCUCAGAGGCCCCCACCUUCAGCUUCCUUCAGAGCAAGCUUCUCAGAGCACACCGCAACCACUCCGGCCAACUCCUCAACCACCCCGAGUCUUCAGACCCCCCUGAUCUUUAAGGAAACCAUCCAAGUUGCCUCCCCUCAGUUCUCACAUCUCCCAAUCACUGUCCAUCAAUUUCCCUGUGCCAAUGGAGGCUCUAGCUUAACCCAGGACCGCCCAGAGGCUUUGCACAUAUCUGUUGAAGGUCAUAUUUUCAAAUAAUUAAAUCUUUGCUCCUUUGCUACAGCCCUUUCUAAAUCCUGUUAACCUGAGUAGGGUAGAGAUUGGAAUAAUUAAAUUUUGAUCUAGGCUGCAGCCCUUACUCAAUCCUGUUAGGACUGAAUAGGGUGGAGGUUGAUUCCAAGUAUCUCCAUUGUAUCAAUUCUAAAAUCAAUCAUGACUCAAAGAAAUUCCUGUUCCAUGCUCAAGCAUAGGUCAAAGUCCUUUCCAUUGUUCAGCAAAGGGCCUCUGUCCUAAAGUAAUCUUAAGAAGGGAAGGAGAAGGAACCUCCCAUGCCAAUGGGAUUCACAUUCCAAUAGUCAAGACCCACUAUCAAUAGGAAAUUUUUCAAGUAUGAAAUUUCCCAAUGGUGAAAUUUCCAACAUUUAUAAGUCUAAGAAAUUUUGAGGUUUACAAUCCCCCCUGAUGAUCAUUGGGAGACUAGUCU
rnacentral:lncRNA from 1 species